rnacentral:rRNA from 1 species
AUUAUUGCCGACGCAAACUUUGUAAUUGGGGUAGCUGCUUGAGUACUACGAGCGUGUGCUUAAAACUCAAAGGAUUUGGCGGCUCGUUAACUACCUAGGGGAAUAUGUACCUUAAUCCGAUGAUACCCGUUAUAUCUUACCAUGCCUUGAAAAAGAACAGUUGGUGUAUUGCCGUUGUCAGCUUGUUGUUAAGCAGAGGGUAACAGGCUUAAGGGAACUACUAAGUGGUUAGUGGAAUCCGUGAAUUCAGGUCGAAAUGCUGCCUAUGGCGUGAGGGAGUAGGUAUUACAGUUUAAAUUUAGAAUUAUGGAUCCUAUUUUUUCUGUGAAAUCUUUAGGUGAAGGUGGACUUAGGAGUAAGGGAGGAUUAAUAUGCCCCCCUGAACAUGAAUCUAACUUGUGUACAAACCGCCCGUCGCUCUCCCCGGAAGGGGAGAUAAGU